UGGUCUAAUACUUCAUAAUAUCCAUCUCGUAUGGAUUAAAGCUUUAUGCGCUUUGGGAGGGGCCUGCGUAACAUUAGCUUGUUGGUGAGGUAAAAGCUCACCAAGGCUUCGAUGUUUAACUGGUUUGAGAGGAUGACCAGUCACACUGGACUGAGAUACGGCCCAGACUCCUACGGGAGGCAGCAGUAAGGAAUCUUCCACAAUGGGGCAACCUGAUGGAGCAAUACCGCGUGCAGGAUGAAGCGUUUCGGCGUGUAAACUGCUUUUAUCACCGAAGAUUAUGACUGUAGGUGAAGAAUAAGGACCGGCUAACUACGUG
rnacentral:rRNA from 1 species